GACGAACGCUGGCGGCGUGCCUAAUACAUGCAAGUCGAGCGGACGAAUCGAAAGCUUGCUUUUGAUUCGUUAGCGGCGGACGGGUGAGUAACACGUGGGCAACCUGCCCUGUAGACGGGGAUAACACCGAGAAAUCGGUGCUAAUACCGGAUAACACGAAAUGUCGCAUGACGUUUCGUUGAAAGACGGCGCAAGCUGCCGCUACAGGUUGGGCCCGCGGCGCAUUAGCUAGUUGGUGAGGUAACGGCUCACCAAGGCGACGAUGCGUAGCCGACCUGAGAGGGUGAUCGGCCACACUGGGACUGAGACACGGCCCAGACUCCUACGGGAGGCAGCAGUAGGGAAUCUUCCGCAAUGGACGAAAGUCUGACGGAGCAACGCCGCGUGAGCGAAGAAGGCCUUCGGGUCGUAAAGCUCUGUUGUUAGGGAAGAACAAGUAACGCAGUAACUGGCGUUACCGUGACGGUACCUAACGAGAAAGCCACGGCUAACUACGUG
rnacentral:rRNA from 1 species